CCCCAUCCCAUGUAACUCUGAACGUCCCGCAGGCGUCCCCAUAAUGCAGAAGUGUCUCUUUAACUUCCUCUCUGUGGAUCUAAUCCCACUGCCUCUUAAUUUACCCAGAUUAUUCAUGUUUGUUCAUAUUGACAUGUCGUCACAAAACAACAAUCUUCACAGAAUCUAGAAAUGUUUUCGUGUUCAAAUUACCAUAUAUCAGUGAAACAUCUAUAAUGAAAAAAGUACUUAUUCACCAUUGUUCAUAAUUUUACUAAAUUGCCCUCAUGUGUUAACAAUACUCAUAAUUACAAAAUAUCAGAAUCUAGAAAACUCCAGAUUUAAAAAGUUGUUUUUGCUAAAAUAUUACUAUAAUCCUAAAGUCAUAUAACAGCGAUUCAUUAAAAUCCAGAAAUGCCCUCAUAAUUAUCAAAACUUUCAUAUAUUACAAAAAAACCGAAUCGUACCUCAAUUAUCUUGUUCUGAAAUAAUUAUUUGGUGCAGAUUAUUCUCAUAUUCCAUAAGUGCUGUCAAAAUGCUGAAAUGUCCCUAUAAAUGGAUCUUCCCAUUAUGUAGAUGCAUGUCCACAAUUGGACAAUAGUGUCCAUGUCCUAAAAUGUCUGACACUAAAAGACACCAUUUAUGUUGUCUGAACCAAACAGUAGAAAUGUUCUUAGAAUUUAAAUACUCUUUACAAUGUAGAACAAAACCUGAAAUGUCAUGAUUAUGAAAAAUUGUCAUGAUUUAAAAAUAGUAAAAUAAGCCACAAAUGUUUUCAUAAUAAAACAGCCGAUUAAAAUAUACUGAUAAUCAGUGAUGGUAUAGUCACUAUGAAAAAGUAACUUAGAUUACUGAUAACUUUUAUAGUUGCUUUCAGCAGCUGCUAACAACAACACCCCACCACCUGUGAAAAUUACUUUGAGCUUUGCCAAAACUUAAUUGUAAGCUAUUUUAUAAUAGUAACAUCAACAAUGUGUCUCCACUUAUAAGGUUAAAUUGAAGGGGAGAUUUUUAAAUAGUUACAACAGUACAAAACAAUCUUUCAUAAUUUUUGCGUGUUUUUGUGUGGUC